rnacentral:rRNA from 1 species
GACGAACGCUGGCGGCGUGCUUAACACAUGCAAGUCGAACGGAAAGGCCCUGCUUUUGUGGGGUGCUCGAGUGGCGAACGGGUGAGUAACACGUGAGUAACCUGCCCUUGACUUUGGGAUAACUUCAGGAAACUGGGGCUAAUACCGGAUAGGAGCUCCUGCUGCAUGGUGGGGGUUGGAAAGUUUCGGCGGUUGGGGAUGGACUCGCGGCUUAUCAGCUUGUUGGUGGGGUAGUGGCUUACCAAGGCUUUGACGGGUAGCCGGCCUGAGAGGGUGACCGGCCACAUUGGGACUGGGAUACGGCCCAGACUCCUACGGGAGGCAGCAGUGGGGAAUAUUGCACAAUGGGCGGAAGCCUGAUGCAGCAACGCCGCGUGCGGGAUGACGGCCUUCGGGUUGUAAACCGCUUUCGCCUGUGACGAAGCGUGAGUGACGGUAAUGGGUAAAGAAGCACCGGCUAACUAC